rnacentral:rRNA from 1 species
GCGGUAAUUCAAGCUCCAAUAGCGUAUAUGUAAAUUGUUGCGGUUGAAAAGCUCGUAGUUGGACUUCUGGCGACCGCGUUCGGUCCGCCAAGCGCGUGCACUGUCCGCGGUCGUCGUUUCUGUCGACGUGGCGCGUCGGCCUUAGUUGGUCGGUGCGUCGUCUGUCGGCGAUGUUACUUUGAGGAAAUCAGAGUGCUCAAGGCAAGCGUUCGCUCGUGACUUCACUAGCAUGGAAUAACACAGAUGGGCUCUUUCUCGCACUGUUGGUCUGCGUCAAUUGAGCAACGAUCGAUAGAGACGGUCGGGGGCAUUCGUAUUGCGCAGUUAGAGGUGAAAUUCUCCGAUCUGCGCAAGACGCACUAAUGCGAAAGCAGUUGCCAAGGACGUCCUCUUAUGAUCAAGAGCGAAAGUCGGGGGAUCAAAGAUGAUUAGAUACCGUCGUAGUCCCGACCAUAAAUGAUGCCGACUGAGCUUCGGCGACUCGACCUCAGGUCGUACGUCGGCGCUCUUAGAGAAAUUAAAGUCUUUGGGCUCCGGGGGUAGUAUGGUCGCAAGUCUGAAACUUGAAGGAAUUGACGGAAGGGCACCACAAGGCGUGGAUGUUGCGGCUUAAUUUGACUCAACACGGGAAAGCUUACUAGGUUUGGACACCUUUGUGAUGGACAGAUUGAAGCUCUUACCCUACUGCGUGGAUGGUGGUGCAUGGUCGUUCUCAGCCCGUGGGUUGACCUGUCAGGUUUACUCCGGUAACGCGCGAGACCUCGGUCUGCUAAAUAGACGCGGCUGUUCCGGCACCCGCGCUCUUCUUAGAGAGAGACUCGACGAGAGUCGAGGGAAGUCGAGGCAAUAACAGAUCUGUGAUGCCCUUAGUUAUCCUAGGUCGCACGCGCCAUACAAUGUGGUGCACAACGAGUCUCCUUGGCCGACAGGAUCUGGGCAAUCUGGCAGAGCGCUACGUGACUGGGCUAGACUUUUGUAAUUUUUGGUCUUGAACGAGGAAUGCCUAGUAAUCGCAGGUCAGCAUCCUGCGAUGAUUCGGUCCCUGCCCUUUGUACACACCGCCCGUCGCUCCAUCCGUGGCAUGCGCCGGUGAAGAGGGGGAGGCAGCGUCGGCCGGGUAACACCGGAUCGUACGUGGAACCCCUCUGAACCUUCGCACGUAGAGGAAGGAGAAGUCGUAACAAGGUUCUCGUAGGUGAACCUGCGAAAGGAUCAUUAUCGGCAC